rnacentral:lncRNA from 1 species
UCUGCAUCUGUGCCAGAGACUCUUGGAUCCUGUGAGCCAGCUCCUACCAUGCAGAUACUUCUGGAAGUCAUUGCUGGGAAGAAAUACUUUAGGAAGGAUGCAGGCUGGUCCAUAGGAGGCCAGGCUGUAAUCAGAAGGAUUGUGGGGUGAAGGACUAAACAUUUCCUGAGACGUUUGGACCACAGAGGAUUCUAUCUACAGAAGCUCUUCAAUCUCAGGGCUAAGAAAGCGGGCUCCAGCCUCCACAUGCCUGGUUGUUGAGUCUUCCUGGAUCCAGUCUCUGGCAACCUCAGAGAAGGAAAGUUUUUGCUGGAAAUGACAGUGUGGAAAGUGCUUUUGUUCACACUCCCUUCUCCGCGGCUUUCCACGUCAACUCCAGGCUGCCUGGAGGCCCUGGAGUGGCAUUGGCCAUGCUAAGAAGAAUGAUACAGGAAAGAAGGAGAAGAGAUCCAUUGUCAUUUCAGAAGAGAAAGUAGGUCCCAUGCAAACUCAACUUCUUUCAGAACUGAUUGACACAUCAAUUGUGAAAAUUAUGGAAACUGUAGUUAAAGACGAAGAAAAUAAAAAUCAAAACAAAUGCCGUCACCUAAUGAUAACAACUGUUAAUGUUUUGUUGUGCAUCCUUUUGUUUCUCCAUCCCUCUUUAAACAUUUUUCAAAACAAAAAUGUGAUCAUAGGG